UUGGGCUUAUGGAGAGAAUGUGGACGUCUACGUGAGUCCUAGGGCCAAGCCCAUUUAGUGAGAUUUCAGGCCGCAGGACCCAUGUAAUGUGAGAGAGAAUUUUAAUUCAACAGAUGGGUUCAAUUUAAACUGAAAGACUUUCCAUAUUUAGCUUGUUGAAAGAGUUCUACAUUGACCUUGUUGAAACGUGAGAGAAACGAGUGACCAGUUUUAAUUACAUGGGAAUACAUAGUUUUUCUUGAACAACAAUAAAAUAGAGUUGGUGUUGAUACAUGGUUUUCUUAUAACUGGGACGGUUUUGUGACAUGCAGUCAUCCCAAUUGAUGUUGAGUUUAUGGAAAUGGAAACAUUUCUUCAAAUUAUAAACAUGUUUUAAAAUUUAUUGAAAACAUGUAAUCUGUUAUGAUUCCGGUCUGUUGUGCCAUUUUUAAAACUUCCCAAAAUGUAGAGUAAAAUGACCCAUUUGUACCUUCUCAAGAAAACAAAUACUGCAAUGUGCAAGGAAGAGCUGCGUUGGAAUACAAGAUUGAUCAUGAAUAAUGCAACUAUAAUGAUUCUAAAACCUCUUCACGGUUCUCAUAUUGGCUUAAUGAUUCCAAAAAGCCAUUG
rnacentral:lncRNA from 1 species